UCUCCCUAAUCUGAUAAGUCUCAACCACAUAAUUAAUCUCGUUCCUCUUUUUCAUACUCAUUAAUCCUUGGGCUUCAGCCGUUUCUGAAUUCAAUCAUAUCAUCAAUGCGUGAUGCGUUACUCUGAGAAAUCGAUGUUACAUUAAAUGCUGAUUCGUGAAGAUUCAAACUAGGGUCUUGCUCACUCUAAUAUUUGUACACAUUUCGGCUUAGGGUUGGCCUUCCCAUUCUGGAUCUGCUCUUUCAUUUCCAAAUCAAAAGGUUACCCCGAGCUUGAUUGGAAAUUUUGUUCUUCUAUAACUGGAAUUACUCCAAUUUUGUUUUCCCCAAUCUGAAACCACGAAACCCCAAAAUGAAAAUUAAUGAAGAAGUGUCUGAAGAAGGACGUUGCAGAUCAUCUUGCAUCCUUAACUAAUGCUUAUAUCAUGUUAAUUUCUCUUAUAUUUUUGUAUUUUUUGAUCUUUGGAUUUGUGUCUCUCAGGGUAAACAAAAUAUAAUCUGCCAAAGUUGAGACAAAAUCGAAUAAAUACGUUCUAUCUAUUUUUACAGUUAACCAACUGUUAUGUGAAGUAUAUUUAACAUCAGCUUCAUCUCCCAUAAAAAGACAUUAUAUAAGCUAUGUUUGAUCCAUGUUCCCCAUUUUGUACAAUAAUGAUCUAAUAAAGAUUUUUGUCUUUGUGUGAGUUCAUACCCGUGGAAGCUUAGAGAAUCACUAAUUCAAGAGUAAGUUCUUUGCACAUUGGUUUUGAGAUAUUGUGUAUGCUGGACGAGUCUACUUCCAACCACUUUUGUGGAAUCUCCGAGUGAAGGUUGAGCUAAGAGACUUGCAUUUCAUCACAGCGCAGGAAAAAAAGGUCAUUUAUAGAGGCUUUAAAAGUUCAAACAUCUUGCUGACUCGUCACAUAAUCACAACACAAAGCUUUCAGAUUUUGGGUGCCAAAAAAUGGUCCGACUGGUGAUAAAAGUCAUGUGUCUACAAGAGUCAUGGGCACCUGCGCAGUCAUGUGUCUACAAGAGCCGCAGGUGCUUACUUGCCCGACCUCCUAUCAUGUUGCAGUGACCAUUAAAAAAUGGGCGGUAAAUAAUGGUCGGAGCAAAGCACCGCAUGAUACCACCUCAAGCGAUUGUUUAAUGAUCAAGGUUAAAACAUAAAACUAAAUGAAUGAAUUUUCCAUACCACGGAGAGUCCCAGGUUGAAACAAUUCGCGGGACAAGAUAAAUUGUCUAUUACCUGAAUUUAUAACUCCCGAGUUUGUUGAAGUUUUCAUCUGAUUAUUUUCUUAGGACGGGUGUCAAACUGGCAUAAAGAAAAUGUUAAAUAAUGCUUCAGCUA